rnacentral:rRNA from 1 species
UACAGAGGGUGCAAGCGUUAAUCGGAAUUACUGGGCGUAAAGCGCGCGUAGGCGGCUUUGCAAGUCGAGUGUGAAAUCCCCAGGCUUAACCUGGGAACUGCAUUCGAGACUGCAUAGCUAGAGUAUGGGAGAGGGAAGUGGAAUUUCAGGUGUAGCGGUGAAAUGCGUAGAUAUCUGAAGGAACAUCAGUGGCGAAAGCGACUUCCUGGACCAAUACUGACGCUCAUGUGCGAAAGCGUGGGGAGCAAACAGG